AUUGAACGCUGGCGGCAUGCCUUACACAUGCAAGUCGAACGGCAGCACGGGUGCUUGCACCUGGUGGCGAGUGGCGAACGGGUGAGUAAUAUAUCGGAACGUACCUUAUUGUGGGGGAUAACGCAGCGAAAGCUGUGCUAAUACCGCAUAAUCCCUUAGGGGGAAAGCGGGGGACCGUAAGGCCUCGCGCAAUUAGAGCGGCCGAUACCUGAUUAGCUAGUUGGUGAGGUAAAGGCUCACCAAGGCGACGAUCAGUGGCUGGUCUGAGAGGACGAUCAGCCACACUGGGACUGAGACACGGCCCAGACUCCUACGGGAGGCAGCAGUGGGGAAUUUUGGACAAUGGGGGCAACCCUGAUCCAGCAAUGCCGCGUGAGUGAAGAAGGCCUUCGGGUUGUAAAGCUCUUUUGUCAGGGAAGAAACAGCAGCUCUAACACAGUAUGCGAAUGACGGUACCUGAAGAAUAAGCACCGGCUAACUACGAGCCAGCCGCCGCAGUAA
rnacentral:rRNA from 1 species